rnacentral:rRNA from 1 species
AGAUUGAACGCUGGCGGCAUGCCUUACACAUGCAAGUCGAACGGCAGCACGGGAGCAAUCCUGGUGGCGAGUGGCGAACGGGUGAGUAAUAUAUCGGAACGUGCCCAGUCGUGGGGGAUAACGUAGAGAAAUUUACGCUAAUACCGCAUACGAUCCAAGGAUGAAAGCGGGGGACCGUAAGGCCUCGCGCGACUGGAGCGGCUGAUAUCAGAUUAGCUUGUUGGUGAGGUAAAAGCUCACCAAGGCGACGAUCUGUAGCUGGUUUGAGAGAACGACCAGCCACACUGGGACUGAGACACGGCCCAGACUCCUACGGGAGGCAGCAGUGGGGAAUUUUGGACAAUGGGCGAAAGCCUGAUCCAGCAAUGCCGCGUGCAGGAAGAAGGCCUUCGGUGUAAACUGCUUUGUACGGAACGAAACGGUACUGCUUUAAUACAGUGGCUAAUGACGGUACCGUAAGAAUAAGACAACCGGCUAGCUACGUGCCAGCAGACCG